rnacentral:rRNA from 1 species
GAUGGCCCGCAAUCAGUUUGACCGGCGAACAUGUUUUAUCCGACCCACGGGGGUUGGCAUGAUCUCAUCCUCCCCCUGCCGGGAGGAGGCCGUGCACGGCGCGGACUCCCCUUGGCAAACACAAACCCCGGCGCCACGCGCGCCAAGGAAUCCAAAACUGUCCAGUGCGGCCCCGGGGGAGUUGGAGACAACGCCUCGCGGGUCCCGUCACCACACACGAAAGAGAAUGACUCUCGGCAAUGGAUAUCUCGGCUCUUGCAUCGAUGAAGAACGUAGCGAAAUGCGAUACUUGGUGUGAAUUGCAGAAUCCCGUGAACCAUCGAGUCUUUGAACGCAAGUUGCGCCCGAAGCCAUUAGGCCGAGGGCACGCCUGCCUGGGUGUCACACAAUGUUACCCUCACGCAAAAAGGGCUACCGUUAGCCAGUGCGUGGUGUGUACGCUGGCCUCCCGCGAGCGGCGUCCCGCGGUUGGCUGAAAAUCGAGUCCGCGGCCGGGUGCGCCGUGAUAAAAUGGUGGACGGGCAAUGCCCGAGACCAAUCACGCGCGAUCCCGUCCGGUGUGACCCCUGGACCCCCGCGGCGUCUUCGGAUGC